rnacentral:rRNA from 1 species
AUUGAACGCUGGCGGCAUGCCUUACACAUGCAAGUCGAACGGCAGCACGGGAGCAAUCCUGGUGGCGAGUGGCGAACGGGUGAGUAAUAUAUCGGAACGUGCCCAGUCGUGGGGAUAACGUAGCGAAAGCUACGCUAAUACCGCAUACGAUCUAUGGAUGAAAGCGGGGGAUCGCAAGACCUCGCGCGAUUGGAGCGGCCGAUAUCAGAUUAGGUAGUUGGUGAGGUAAAGGCUCACCAAGCCGACGAUCUGUAGCUGGUCUGAGAGGACGACCAGCCACACUGGGACUGAGACACGGCCCAGACUCCUACGGAGGCAGCAGUGGGGAAUUUUUGGACAAUGGGCGCAAGCCUGAUCCAGCAAUGCCGCGUGCAGGAUGAAGG